AGUUGACCAGGACCCAUGUUAUGGUUUGUCACCGUUGAGUUGAAACUGGGAAGGAGCAGGAGUGUGAAAGUGACAGGCUGAGCAAGGACAGAGGAAGUGAAAAGAACAGGGAUUGGAAGAAUCAAAGUGAAUCAGAAAUUGGAAGAGAGAGUGAGAGAUCAAUAGGAGGCAAGGCAUUCCAGAGCCUAGCUACCCGGUUGAAAUAAAAAUGUCUGGAUCUAUUUGUGGAGGAGUGCUGGAUAAUGAUUUUUGAAGAAGAACUGGAGCGAGUAGAACAGGAGGAAAAAGUAAUAUGAUCACGAAUAUUGAAACUAUCAUCAGGACAUUGGAGGCACUGAACAAAAAAAA